UACGUAGGGGGCAAGCGUUUGUCCGGAAUUAUUGGGCGUAAAGAGCUCGUAGGCGGUUUGUCGCGUCUGCUGUGAAACCCGAGGCUCAACCUCGGGCCUGCAGUGGGUACGGGCAGACUAGAGUGCGGUAGGGGAGAUUGGAAUUCCUGGUGUAGCGGUGGAAUGCGCAGAUAUCAGGAGGAACACCGGGUGGCGAAGGCGGGACUCUGGGCCGAUACUGACGCUGAGGAGCGAAAGCGUGGGGAGCAAACAGG
rnacentral:rRNA from 1 species